rnacentral:rRNA from 1 species
GACGAACGCUGGCGGCGUGCUUAACACAUGCAAGUCGAACGGAAAGGCCCUGCUUUUGUGGGGUGCUCGAGUGGCGAACGGGUGAGUAACACGUGAGUAACCUGCCCUUGACUUUGGGAUAACUUCAGGAAACUGGGGCUAAUACCGGAUAGGAGCUCCUGCUGCAUGGUGGGGGUUGGAAAGUUUCGGCGGUUGGGGAUGGACUCGCGGCUUAUCAGCUUGUUGGUGGGGUAGUGGCUUACCAAGGCUUUGACGGGUAGCCGGCCUGAGAGGGUGACCGGCCACAUGGGGACUGAGAUACGGCCCAGACUCCUACUGGAGGCAGCAGUGGGGAAUAUUGCACAAUGGGCGGAAGCCUGAUGCAGCAACGCCGCGUGCGGGAUGACGGCCUUCGGGUUGUAAACCGCUUUCGCCUGUGACGAAGCGUGAGUGACGGUAAUGGGGAAAGAAGCACCGGCUAACUACGU